AUUCAUUGUGAACACACGCCGCGUUUCACUAUAUGUUACAUGUUUUAUUUACACAUACUAUAGAUGAUAGAUCUUUUCAUUCUGAAGAUAAGUAAUGAAUUAUUUGAGAAAUAAUAUAACGAGAUCUCAAGUCGAGCAUCGCUCCUCAGUUCACUUGUUUGAGAUUUCAGUGAUAGCUAACAAUAUAGCCUUUGUAAGAAUUUAUAUUAUAGCUGCUACCUAUAUUAUCCAUGUAUUACAAUUUAACUUACCAUGAGCAAAGUCGCCGCCUUCCUACAUAUCGUUAAACAGAUACCACACUGCUUUGUUGAGAAUGAUGUUUAACGCUAUAACUCACCUUUGGGACAUAAGUUGCUUGUAAGCUAUCCGUUGCUAAAUGACCUUUGGUAAUAAUAUAAUUCUUGUCGUAUAACAGUGUUGCAGUAGCACUAAAUGAGUUUAUCAAGAUUUAUCAUAAGGUCAGCAUAAUCGCAUUCAGACUGGCUGCUGUCGGACAUUAUAUUUUCAGAAUCAGAACUGUCAUGAGUGUAUAUUGAAUCCUGAAAUUCUCGCCGCUGAUCAAUACUGUCCAUCGUUACAUGCUCAGCUCCACUAACAUAGUAAGUUAUUGGCGAGUACAAUAUGUGUCCAACAGAAUCGUAUUCUUGACUUGAUUGCCUUGAAAACCUAAGUCCAUGGUAUCUAUUGAUAGAAAAAAGAUGUUGUGGUCCAAACUCUGAAAAAUAACCAGAACUAUAUUUUUCAUAUGGUCCGGUGAAGGGACCACUCAUAGAUGACACUGAAAUAUAAUUAAUUGUUAGAACGCACUUGUAAAAUUUCAUAUCUGCAGGUAAUCGAUAAUUAAAAUGAUCCGGAUAAUUAGGCUUAAUUAAUAUAUAACCAUGACCGCUGAUGGUGAAAUUAACUCUUUUCAUAUCGUCUCCAACGCAUCUUGAGUAAUUUAGUCUCGCCUGUUCAAACAGUAUCUGAUCAUCUCUGAUGUUACCAGCAAUAACUGCUGAGCAAAUGAUUGAAUU